rnacentral:rRNA from 1 species
CCUGCCACGCUGUAACUAUGACUCUCUACCCACAUCCAGCCAGGGGACGGACUGGGAACGGUUCCUUCGGGGGCCUUCCCUGGGCGUCGAACAACCAACUCAGAACUGGUACGGACAAGGAGAAUUCGACUGUUUAAUUAAAACAAAGCAUUGCGAUGGUCCCUGCGGAUGUUUACACAAUGUGAUUUCUGCCCAGUGCUCUGAAUGUCAAAGGGAAAAAAUUCAACCAAGCGCGGGUAAAUGGCGGGAGUAGCUAUGACUCUCUUACAAAUGCCUCGUCAUCUAAUUAGUGACGCACAUGAAUUGAUUAACGAGAUUUCCACUGUCACUGUCUACUAUCCAACGAAACCACAGCCAAGAGAACGGGCUUGGCAGCAUCAGCAGGGAAAGAAGACCCUGUUGAGCUUGACUCUAGUCCGACCUUAUGAAAUGACUUGAGAGGUGUAGUAUNCUAGUCCGACUUUGUGAAAUGACUUGAGAGGUGUAGUAUAAGUGGGAGCUGAAAGGCGAAAGUGAAAUACGACUACUUUUAACGUUAUUUUACUUAUUCCGUGAAUUGGAAGCGGGGCACUGCCCCUCUUUUUGAACCCUAGGCUUGCUUGCGGGCCGAUCCGGGCAGAAGACAUUAUCAGGUGAGGAGUUUGGCCGGGGCGGCACAUCUGUUAAAAGAUAAUGCAGGUGUCCUAAGAUAAGCUCAACGAGAACAAAAAUCUCAUGUGGAACAGAAGGGUAAAAGCUCGUUUGACUCUGAUUUUCAGUACGAAUACGAACCGUGAAAGCGUGGCCUAACGGUCCUUUAGACAUUAGGAAUUCGAAGCUAGAGGUGUCAAAAAAGUUACUACAGGGAUAACUGGCUUGUGGCAGCCAAGCGUUCAUAGCGACGUUGCUUUUUGAUCCUUCGAUGUCGGCUCUUCCUAUCAUUGUGAAGCAGAAUUCACCAAGUGUUGGAUUGUUCACCCACCAAUAGGGAACGUGAGCUAGGUUUAGACCGUCGUGAGACAGGUUAGUUUUACCCUAGUGAUGACAGUGUCGUAAUAGUAAUUCAACCUAGUACGAGAGGAACCAUUGAUUCACACAAUUGGUCAUCACGCUUCGUUGAAAAGCUAGUGGCGCGAAGCUACCGUGCACUGGAUAAUGACUAAACGCCUCUAAGUCAGAAUCUGGGUUACAAGCGACGCAUGCGCCCGUCGUCCGCUUGCCGACCCGCAGUAGGGGCCUUUGGCCCCCAAGGGAACCUGUCGUUGGCUAAGUCAUCGUAGCGGAAGAGCCGCGGUGGUUGCCUUGAAGUACAAUUUCCAUCGAGCGGCGGGUAGAAGACCCUGUUGAUCGCCUUGAAGUAUAAUUUCCAUCGCACUACAAGCCAUCGCACAGCCAAG